rnacentral:rRNA from 1 species
GAUGAACGCUAGCUACAGGCUUAACACAUGCAAGUCGAGGGGCAGCAUGCAGGAAGCUUGCUUUCUGUGAUGGCGACCGGCGCACGGGUGCGUAACGCGUAUCCAAUCUACCCUGCACACGGGAAUAGCCCUGCGAAAGUAGGAUUAAUGCCCGAUGUUCUUUUUUGUUGCAUGACAGAGAAAGCAAAGAUUUAUCGGUACAGGAUGAGGAUGCGUCCCAUUAGGCAGUAGGCGGGGUAACGGCCCACCUAACCUACGAUGGGUAGGGGUUCUGAGAGGAAGGUCCCCCACAUUGGAACUGAGACACGGUCCAAACUCC